UGGGGAAUAUUGGACAAUGGGCGCAAGCCUGAUCCAGCAAUGCCGCGUGGGUGAAGAAGGUCUUCGGAUCGUAAAGCCCUUUCGACGGGGACGAUGAUGACGGUACCCGUAGAAGAAGCCCCGGCUAACUUCGUGCCAGCAGCCGCGGUAAUACGAAGGGGGCUAGCGUUGCUCGGAAUUACUGGGCGUAAAGGGCGCGUAGGCGGUCAUUUUAGUCAGGCGUGAAAUUCCCGGGCUUAACCUGGGGACUGCGCUUGAUACUGGGUGACUAGAGGGUGGAAGAGGGUCGUGGAAUUCCCAGUGUAGAGGUGAAAUUCGUAGAUAUUGGGAAGAACACCGGUGGCGAAGGCGGCGACCUGGUCCAUUACUGACGCUGAGGCGCGACAGCGUGGGGAGCAAACAGG
rnacentral:rRNA from 1 species